rnacentral:rRNA from 1 species
GGAUGCGAUCGUAUCAGCACUAAUGCACUGAUCCCAUCACAACUCUGCAGUUAAGCGUGCUUAGGCGAUGGUAGUACUAGGAUGUGUGACUUCACUACUAUUUAAGUACCGAUUUGA